rnacentral:rRNA from 1 species
UCGCCUGUUUAUCAAAAACAUGUCUUUAUGAUAAUAAUUUAAAGUCUGACCUGCCCACUGAAUUUAAUUUGAAGGGCCGCGGUAUUUUGACCGUGCAAAGGUAGCAUAAUCAUUAGUCUUUUAAUUGGAGGCUGGAAUGAAUGGUUGGACGAGGCAUUGACUGUCUCAGUGUGAAUGAUAUUAGAAUUUAACUUUUAAGUCAAAAGGCUUAAAUUUUUUUGAAGGACGAGAAGACCCUAUAGAGCUUUAUAGUAAAUAAUAUAUAAUUUAUUUAGUUGAAUUUAUGUUAUAGUUUAUUAACUAUUUUGUUGGGGUGACAGGAAGAUAAAUAAAACUCUUUUUAAUUUUAAACCAUUGAUUUAUGAAUUGUUGAUCCAUUAUUAAUGAUUAUAAGACUAAGUUACCUUAGGGAUAACAGCGUAAUCUUUUUUGAGAGUUCUUAUCGACAAAAAGGGUUGCGACCUCGAUGUUGGAUUAAGGGUAAUUUUGGGUGUAGAUGUUCAAAUUUUAGGUCUGUUCGACCUUUAGAUCCUUACAUGAUCUGAGUUCCAAACCGGAGA